rnacentral:rRNA from 1 species
GAUGAACGCUGGCGGCGUGCCUAAUACAUGCAAGUCGAGCGAACAGACGAGGAGCUUGCUCCUCUGACGUUAGCGGCGGACGGGUGAGUAACACGUGGAUAACCUACCUAUAAGACUGGGAUAAAUUCGGGAAACCGGAGCUAAUACCGGAUAAUAUAUUGAACCGCAAGGUUCAAUAGUGAAAGACGGUUUUGCUGUCACUUAUAGAUGGAUCCGCGCCGCAUUAGCUAGUUGGUAAGGUAACGGCUUACCAAGGCAACGAUGCGUAGCCGACCUGAGAGGGUGAUCGGCCACACUGGAACUGAGACACGGUCCAGACUCCUACGGGAGGCAGCAGUAGGGAAUCUUCCGCAAUGGGCGAAAGCCUGACGGAGCAACGCCGCGUGAGUGAUGAAGGUCUUCGGAUCGUAAAACUCUGUUAUUAGGGAAGAACAAAUGUGUAAGUAACUAUGCACGUCUUGACGGUACCUAAUCAGAAAGCCACGGCUAACUACGUG